ACUGAGGGAUGACUGUACUUAAAAAAUAGGCACACAAUCUCAUGAGUUAUCGUCACUUACGUACGAAAGCUUUUCUGGUUGUAAUUGUUGUUUUGUCAUGAAGAUAUUAAAGCCUUGGUCUCAAAUAAUUUUUAGGGAAUUAUUUCUUUUUUUUCUUUUUUUUUUUUUUGAGAUGGAAUCUCCCUCUGUCGCCCGGGCUGGAGUGCAGUGGCACGAUCUCGGCUUACCGCAACCUCCGCCUCCUGGGUUCAAACAAUUCUCCUGCCUCGGCCUCCUGAGUAGCUGGGAUUACAGGAAUCAAGUUUGCUAAGAGACCACCAGUGCUGAAUGCACUUUGUUCUGGCAAGAGCAGAAAACUGAGAAGCCGUGUUACCUACCACUACCUGGGAUACAUUCAGGGAGCAGGAGUAUUCUGGAUAUG
rnacentral:sRNA from 1 species